rnacentral:lncRNA from 1 species
ACCAGGUCCCUCCUACAACAUGUGGAGAUUAUGGGAACUACAAUUCAAGAUGAGAUUUGAGUGGGGACGAGGCCAAACCAUAUCACCUUGGCCUUCCAAAGUGCUGGGAUUAAAGGUGUGAGCCACUGUGUCCAGCCAUAGAAACUUAUGAUAAGUCACGUUUCUUGUUUGAGAAAUAGCUACCAUGAAUGCUAUUAUUAAAGCUAUAUAUUAUUAGAAAGCAGACAUCUCACUGUAUCUGCUGAUUUUAAAUGCAUUGAUCAUCUGAUACAAAGUACGGUAAGCUUGGAAACAAGUAAUUUAACAGCGGUAGAUAAUGCAGGUCGUAGUGGGCCGCUUUAUGCAUGACUGUUGGAUGGCAGGCUCCCUAGAUUGGGCUGAGGAGACCCGAGGUCUCACCUCUGCCAGUGACUUGCUGUGUGUGCUUGGCCAGGUGACUCAUGGCACCUGGACGGAGGGAGUGGUGUGGUGAUCACAGGGACGUGGUAUGUGAUUGCGGGAGAGGGCUGGGCCGGCUGGCCUGACUGGAAGAGAAGACAGUUUCUUUCAUACCAAAGAGUAUGGACACUUACCAGGAGGCUUGCCUAAGGUAGGAGAAGAUCUUCCACCCUGCCCCAGGAGUGGGGAGUCUCAUCUUUUUGGGGGGCAUUUCUAUCCUCCCAGCCCCUCCAGCUGUUCUGGAAGCCCCAGCUUAGUGCUUACAGCUACCACCGAGAAUCCAUCCCAAACUAGGAGAAGCAAAGACUGAUCCUGGACCCUCUCCCCGCUGUCGCCGGCUAGCCCACUCCAGCAUUGCCCGUCCUGCAGGCCCGUGCUUCGCACUACAGGAGAUUAUAUGCACAGAAACAGGAGGCACACAGCCGAUGUUGGAAUGGGUGCUGUGUUACUGAGGUGCAGUACACAAAAGCAGGAGGCACUCAGCAGGUGUUGGAAAGGGUGCUGUGUUACUUAGGUGCAGCACAGUACCGUGGGAAGGGCAGACACCAGGGCGAAUCCUGGCUCUGAUUCGGGCAGCUUGUUUCAUCACCCUGAGCCUCAGUUGUUUCAUCUGUAAAUGAGGAUGAGAAUACCUCCGUCACAGGAUUCUAUGUGACAUGAUUAGAAAAUGCCUAGCCAAAAAA